rnacentral:lncRNA from 1 species
CAUUGUUGCCGCCACAAGUAAACCAGUCCCUUGCUUCUGUGCCACCAAUGAACCCAGCUGCCACAUUACCAAGUCUGAUGCCUUUGUCAGCAGGGCUGCCUAGCCUCCCCAACCUCCCCAGCCUCUCCAACUUCAACCUCCCUGCUCCGCACAUCAUGCCAGGGGUCGGCUUGCCAGAGCUCGGGAAGCCGGGUAUGUUGCAUGCCUUACCCUCCUAAGACAUUGCUAAUAAAAAAAAAAAAUUUAUUCAGG